CGUGGUGUGAAUCGUCUGCUUAAUUGCGAUAACGAGCGAGACUCUAACUGUUAAAUAGCACACGGAUCAUUUCGUCCGUGAGGCUUCUUAACUGGAUUCGCGGCUUCAAGCCGCAAGAAAUGGAGCAAUAACAGGUCUGUGAUGCCCUUAGAUGUUCGGGGCCGCACGCGUGCUACAAUGAUGGUAACAGCGUGAUUGUCCUCGCCCGACAGGGCUUGGCAAACAGUUGAGAUAUUAUUAUGGCUGGAACUGAGUGUUGAAAUUUUCUCUCAUGAACGAGGAAUUCCAAGUAAAUGCGCGUCAUCAACGUGCAUUGAUACGUCCCUGCCCUUUGUAC
rnacentral:rRNA from 1 species